AUUGUUAGUUGCGACAUGUCCUUACUUGUAUAUUUUGGUUGAAAGGGUGCGCAGACAAUAAAUGGGAGUUUUUGCCCAUCUUACAUUUAGAAUUACGCGUAAAGUGAUAUUACUCAUUAACCAAACAUAUUAAAGACCUAGGGUCUUUUGAUUUAAGGUCCUUGGUUUGUGACCUUGAAAUUGAGGUCAAGGUCAUAGGUUAAUUGGACGUUCUAGAUUUUGACCUUUGG
rnacentral:lncRNA from 1 species